GACGAACGCUGGCGGCGUGCUUAACACAUGCAAGUCGAACGAUGAAGCCUAGCUUGCUAGGUGGAUUAGUGGCGAACGGGUGAGUAAUACGUGAGUAACCUACCUUUAACUCUGGGAUAAGCCCGGGAAACUGGGUCUAAUACCGGAUACGACCAAUCUCCGCAUGGGGUGUUGGUGGAAAGCGUUAUGUAGUGGUUAUAGAUGGGCCCACGGCCUAUCAGCUUGUUGGUGAGGUAACGGCUCACCAAGGCGACGACGGGUAGCCGGCCUGAGAGGGGGACCGCCCACAGUGGGAGUGACACCCGCCCCAGCCCCCGACGGGAGGCGGCGGGGGGAAAUUUUGCACAAGGGCCGCACGCCUGAGGCGGCGGCGCCGGGGGGGGGAUGAGGGCCUUCGGUUUGUAACCCUCUGUUGGCGGGGAAAAAGGGAGAUUGACGUUACCUGAAGAAAAGGCGCCGGCUAACUCCGUG
rnacentral:rRNA from 1 species